rnacentral:lncRNA from 1 species
GUAAACUAAUAUCAAUGGCAUAAUCAGCUAACGAGCAAAUAAUAAUGAGUUUCAAAUACCAACACUUCAAUCAAAACAAGCAUGAAGCAAUAUGAAUAGGUGGUAUCUCGCUAGCUCUUUCUGAGACCGCAAAACAUAAAUGCAUAGCACUUUCAAAGAUCAAGGGCUGACUAAACAUUGUAAUUCAUAGCAACGAAGAUCCAGUCAUAGUCAUACUCAAUAUCAAUCAAAAGCAAAGCAUAAAAAUGACAGAGGUGCUCUCUAAUUGGUGCUUAUAUAAGAAGAGGAUGACUGAACAGGAAAAUAAGUAGAC